GACGAACGCUGGCGGCGUGCUUAACACAUGCAAGUCGAACGAUGAAGCCUAGCUUGCUAGGUGGAUUAGUGGCGAACGGGUGAGUAAUACGUGAGUAACCUACCUUUAACUCUGGGAUAAGCCUGGGAAACUGGGUCUAAUACCGGAUACGACCAAUCUCCGCAUGGGGUGUUGGUGGAAAGCGUUAUGUAGUGGUUAUAGAUGGGCUCACGGCCUAUCAGCUUGUUGGUGAGGUAACGGCUCACCAAGGCGACGACGGGUAGCCGGCCUGAGAGGGUGACCGGCCACACUGGGACUGAGACACGGCCCUGACUCCUACGGGAGGCAGCAGUGGGGAAUAUUGCACAAUGGGCGCAAGCCUGAUGCAGCGACGCCGCGUGAGGGAUGACGGCCUUCGGGUUGUAAACCUCUGUUAGCAGGGAAGAAGAGAGAUUGACGGUACCUGCAGAGAAAGCGCCGGCUAACUACGUGCCAGCAGCCGCGGUAAUACGUAGGGCGCGAGCGUUGUCCGGAAUUAUUGGGCGUAAAGAGCUUGUAGGCGGUUUGUCGCGUCUGCUGUGAAGGCCGGGGCUUAACUCCGUGUAUUGCAGUGGGUACGGGCAGACUAGAGUGCAGUAGGGGAGACUGGAAUUCCUGGUGUAGCGGUGGAAUGCGCAGAUAUCAGGAGGAACACCGAUGGCGAAGGCAGGUCUCUGGGCUGUAACUGACGCUGAGAAGCGAAAGCAUGGGGAGCGAACAGGAUUAGAUACCCUGGUAGUCCAUGCCGUAAACGUUGGGCACUAGGUGUGGGGGACAUUCCACGUUUUCCGCGCCGUAGCUAACGCAUUAAGUGCCCCGCCUGGGGAGUACGGCCGCAAGGCUAAAACUCAAAGAAAUUGACGGGGGCCCGCACAAGCGGCGGAGCAUGCGGAUUAAUUCGAUGCAACGCGAAGAACCUUACCAAGGCUUGACAUAUACUGGACCGCAUCAGAGAUGGUGUUUCCCUUCGGGGCUGGUAUACAGGUGGUGCAUGGUUGUCGUCAGCUCGUGUCGUGAGAUGUUGGGUUAAGUCCCGCAACGAGCGCAACCCUCGUUCUAUGUUGCCAGCACGUUAUGGUGGGGACUCAUAGGAGACUGCCGGGGUCAACUCGGAGGAAGGUGGGGAUGACGUCAAAUCAUCAUGCCCCUUAUGUCUUGGGCUUCACGCAUGCUACAAUGGCCGGUACAGAGGGUUGCGAUACUGUGAGGUGGAGCUAAUCCCUAAAAGCCGGUCUCAGUUCGGAUUGGGGUCUGCAACUCGACCCCAUGAAGUCGGAGUCGCUAGUAAUCGCAGAUCAGCAACGCUGCGGUGAAUACGUUCCCGGGCCU
rnacentral:rRNA from 1 species